AGCUUUGUGCAGUGGCAGUAUCAUAGCCAAUGAGGUUUAUCUGAGGCGCAAUUAUUGCUAAUUGAAAUUUUAACUGUCUUUCCUGCCUUAAGAGUAAAAUUGGUUUAGUCUGUUUCAGUCAACCCUUGGUAGUUCUGUCUUACAAUUUCUAAUUGUUUCCCCCUAUGAGA
rfam:Tupaia chinensis contig220806, whole genome shotgun sequence.